rnacentral:rRNA from 1 species
AUUGAACGCUGGCGGCAUGCCUUACACAUGCCAGUCGAACGGUAACAGGUCUUCGGACGCUGACGAGUGGCGCACGGGUGAGUAAUGCAUCGGAACGUGCCCAGUCGUGGGGGAUAACUGCUCGAAAGAGCAGCUAAUACCGCAUACGACCUGAGGGUGAAAGCGGGGGACCGUAAGGCCUCGCGCGAUUGGAGCGGCCGAUGUCAGAUUAGCUAGUUGGUGGGGUAAAGGCCUACCAAGGCAACGAUCUGUAGUUGGUCUGAGAGGACGACCAGCCACACUGGGACUGAGACACGGCCCAGACUCCUACGGGAGGCAGCAGUGGGGAAUUUUGGACAAUGGGCGCAAGCCUGAUCCAGCAAUGCCGCGUGCAGGAAGAAGGCCUUCGGGUUGUAAACUGCUUUUGUCAGGGAAGAAAUCUUCUGGGCUAAUACCCCGGGAGGAUGACGGUACCUGAAGAAUAAGCACCGGCUAACUACGUG